UACGUAGGUGGCGAGCGUUGUCCGGAAUUACUGGGUGUAAAGGGCGUGUAGGCGGGGAAACAAGUCAGAUGUGAAAUUCCACGGCUUAACUGUGGCGCUGCAUCUGAAACUGUGUCUCUUGAGUGCUGGAGAGGAAAGCGGAAUUCCUAGUGUAGCGGUGAAAUGCGUAGAUAUUAGGAGGAACACCAGUGGCGAAGGCGGCCCGCUGGGCAGUGGCUGACGCUGAGGCGCGACAGCGUGGGGAGCAAACAGG
rnacentral:rRNA from 1 species